CCACGCUGGAGAGGGAUCUUGGGAAGAGAGGCACUUACUAACUCUUUCAUGUCCCUGUCAAUGGGACUUGAAAGGGAGCCCCAGCGCCGGGAGUCAAAGGGAUAUGUGACGAUCGCAGGCGUCAUUCUUAGAGAA